GAUCUAUUUUCGUCACAGAAUCACAACACAAACUGAUGGUGGUUACAGCACCAAACUGUUAUGUUGUCUUUGUUUUUUCGAACAGCAAAUGUAGCCUUUACUAAGGUAAAAAGAGUGCCUCAUGGUAGCAUACCCACUGAUCUCUCCUUUCUCUGUUUGUACAGUCACCAAAAUAAGGACAUGCCGAAGAAGAGAGUGAAAGGUGGAGAUGAAAAAGCAAAUGCCAAAACCCACAGUAUGGUAGCAGCUGCUGAGGAUGAAUGUCCUGUACAUCAAAAUGCGGAUAACACUAUCACCAUCAAGAUUGUCGCCAAACCAGGAGCCAAACACAAUUCAGUAACAGAUGUUAGUAGUGAUGGCGUGGGUGUGCAGAUUGCUGCUCCUCCUGUUGAUGGUGAAGCAAAUACUGAGCUCUUAAAAUACUUAGCUUCAGUCCUUGACCUGAGGAAGUCUGAAAUUUCUUUGGACAAGGAUCACCAGCGGUGAUAUUGCCUGCUGAAAGCAGAGACCCAACACAGGACCUUGCAACAGCCACAUCAGUGUUGAAUCAAAGUUGGAGGGGUGGGGUGGGGGGUGAACACCUCAAUGACUUUCCAAGGCUUGAAGGUACAUGCCUUUCAGGGUCAUGUGCAUGGGUUCUAUACAGUCUUGGGGGUGGUCUGGUGGCACAACAGUUAGUUCCUGUCACUAAUACGGGGUCAAAAUCAAGGAGUAAAAGUGUGAGGAUAAUAGGAUCACUCUCUAAGGAAGAAGUGAUGAGACGUCUUACAUCAGAAAUCAGUGACAAAUGUUCAUAAACAUUUAAGCAUGGUAUGUAGGUCUUAAAGUACUUUUGAUGGUUUGCAUGUCAUUGUCAGAUAAAAAUUUUAAGAAACUCUUUUGCGUUUCAGGCAUCAUGCCAGUCAGACUUCAAGUUUUUCUGUAGUUAUAAAGAGGAUGGUUCUAUUUUUUCCCUUGUCUUCUUUGAUGUCCCAGAGUUUUAUUUCCAGAAUUGUUUAAUUUGAAACUAUAAUUUUGUUCAAAUUUUCAUCACAUGGUGGUGCUGUAAUAGUAUAUGCUGGUAUGUGUCGAAUGGGAUGAGAAAAUGGAAGUGUGGGAAGUGUAACAUAAAUAGCUUGUUUUUGUCAAAAUAGGACCUUUUAUCAGAAAAAGUUUGCUUCCUUCCCUUUUAGAAGAUUAUAACAACAGAGGUAAGCAUACAACAUAUGCAAAAGAUGAUUACAGUUCAUGAGCUGGAAUAUAUAAAUAUUGUAAACUUAUAGAGAACCUGUACGCUUUAGCCUACAUUGAGCAUUUUGUGGUAAGAUCUUCUGAAUACUGGGACAGCAGUGUUCAUUAGAGAUUUUUGGAGCUUGUGAACUUUCGAAAAACUUUAUCAGUUUUAUGUCUUCUAGCAAUAUGUUUGUAGCAUUUGCAUCUUUAUUUCCUGAUCACUAUCACUUCUUUUUCUCUAACACCCCAUCCCCACCACACACACAUUAUAUAGCUAUAAGUGGUUGGAAGCUAUCUCUGACAGCAGGAUUUAUAAGUGUAUGGUCACUUUCUACUUUAUUCUGAUUAAUGUUAUUUUAAUAAUUUUGAGAUGGCUCUGAAUACUUUUGGGAUGUUGUUCAUAUAUUAUUCUUUUAACUUGAAAUCCAAGUUACUUGACAUUCAUAAAGGCGGAUUAAACAUCACUUGCGAUUUGGCUCAUUUUUCCCUUUUAUGUGAAGUUUGUACAUUUUUCUGUCUUGUCAGGAAGUAUUUAAAGACUUGGUCUAAUUUGUCUGCCACCUAUUUGUAUAGCCGAGUUUGUUUCUGCCCCAUUUAUAUUACUUGAAUACUUAAUGUAGCUACUGUCAUAUGCUCUUCUCUGUUUUUUUGUCAGAUUGCAAUGCCUAAGAUGCUGAGGCAUGCAAAUUAAGUCUGCAAACCUUCAAGUGCUUUGUUAACUAGUCAUGUAUUGUCAAGUGGGUGACUAUAUUUGGCGAAUUUUUACAUUUCAUGUUUAAAAAAAAAGUUUACCAGAUAUAUUGCCUUAUUUGACAAUAUUUGUCUGAGAAUGCCUUGUAGGACUAACACACUUUUAGAGAACCUGAGCAGAAUAAACAAAUGACACAGAUCAGUACAGGACAUCACUAGACAGCUGCUUUCAGACAACUGCCU